rnacentral:rRNA from 1 species
CAGGCCUAACACAUGCAAGUCGAGGGGUAGAGUUUCUUCGGAGACUUGAGACCGGCGCACGGGUGCGUAACGCGUAUGCAAUCUACCCUUUACUGGGGAAUAGCCCGGAGAAAUUCGGAUUAAUGCCCCAUAUGCCCACGGAAUCGCAUGGUUCAGUGGGGAAAGUUCCGACGGUAAAGGAUGAGCAUGCGUCCCAUUAGCUAGUUGGUGAGGUAACGGCUCACCAAGGCGACGAUGGGUAGGGGGCCUGAGAGGGUGAUCCCCCACACUGGUACUGAGACACGGACCAGACUCCUACGGGAGGCAGCAGUGAGGAAUAUUGGGCAAUGGAGGCAACUCUGACCCAGCCAUGCCGCGUGCAGGAAGACGGCCCUCUGGGUUGUAAACUGCUUUUGUUUGGGAAUAAACCCUUCUACGUGUAGGAGGCUGAAGGUACCUUACGAAUAAGCAUCGGCUAACUCCGUGCCAGCAGCCGCGGUAAUACGGAGGAUGCAAGCGUUAUCCGGAUUUAUUGGGUUUAAAGGGUCCGUAGGCGGAUCUUUAAGUCAGUGGUGAAAGCCCACAGCUCAACUGUGGAACUGCCAUUGAUACUGGAGAUCUUGAGUGUAGUAGAAGUAGGCGGAAUAGGGCAUGUAGCGGUGAAAUGCAUAGAUAUGCCCUAGAACACCGAUUGCGAAGGCAGCUUACUAUGUUACAACUGACGCUGAGGGACGAAAGCGUGGGGAGCAAACAGGAUUAGAUACCCUGGUAGUCCACGCUGUAAACGAUGAUUACUCGCUGUUGGCGACAUACAGUCAGCG